rnacentral:lncRNA from 1 species
AUGUAAAGAGCGUUGAAGAAUAGACCGAUUGGACGUUGGGCCUGGCUCUCGCCAAUCAGCAAUCCACUCACCAGCAACAUCACUAAUUAUUUUACUAAAUGAGAGUCGUAAACCCCGAGGGUCUCAAGUUCAAACGGUUCCAACACACAAAAUUGGAAGACCUGGAAAUUGUUAUUUUCUUCUUCUUUUCAUCUUUUGAUGGUACAAAGAUGAAACAGUACAUUCACGCAAGCAGAAGAUGAUCCGGAGAGAACCACAUCGUCCUGACGCCACCUGUCUGCAGCAGCUGCUGGAGUACAUGUUGCACUAUAGAGUGUUGGAAGAGAUGUGAUACACUAACAUUCGAUCGCGAUGGAAAAAAAGAAGAAAAAAAAACGUCACGGUUUCUUGGAUUUAAUUUAGUACAUUCGAUACGGCCCCUCCUUUUCUCACGCGGGAUAUUUGAAUGCGUCUUUUAGGUCUACCUUUUCCCGGCAAUGGGCGGUGUUUUCCGAAAAGUUCUCCACGUAAAACAUUUAAAAAAUGAUUCGUCGACCGCGACGGCAAGAAAUUAAAAGAAACGGAGUUGAUCCAGCCGCAAUGGGUUGAACGAUGUAAUAUCGUCAGACAGCAGCAAUAAACCAGGAUCGGUAGAGGAGACAAAAGGGCAACAACCCGUUAGUGAAUUUCAAAUUGGCCGUGAUGUCGGCCUGCGAAUUCUCUGCCACCUGGAAUUGACGCUGUCGAGAUGGAAAUGAGGACUCGAUGAUGCUAGAAUGUUUAAUGAGAUGAGGAAUGCCAGCCAAUUUCUUCGGUCCAGCCCUGAGCUGGCCGGCCGUUCGACGUAGGAACCCAUCCACCAGGUCAAGAUCGCCAAUGUCAACCACUUCCAGGUCCUGCUGGGAUCCCAAUCCGGUCC